rnacentral:rRNA from 1 species
UCCUACGGGGGGCAGCAGUAGGGAAUUUUCGUCAAUGGGCGCAAGCCUGAACGAGCAAUGCCGCGUGAACGAGGAAGGUCUUCGGAUCGUAAAGUUCUGUUGAAGGGGAAAAAGAGCGGAGAGAGGAAAUGGUCUCCGAUUGAUAUUACCCUUCGAAGAAGUCACGGCUAACUACGUGCCAGCAGCCGCGGUAAUACGUAGGUGGCGAGCGUUAUCCGGAAUGAUUGGGCGUAAAGGGUGCGUAGGCGGCCUGCUAAGUCUGGAGUGAAAGGUACCGGCUCAACCGGUACAGGCUCUGGAAACUG